UGCAAAUUGAGAUUAAAAGUUUAGUAAUGAUACAUGAUAUAUGUAUAUAUAGCAUUCUUCAUUGUUUUAUUUUAUUAGAAUCAUUACUUUAACUAGUUUGAGAUUAUGAAAUAACUUUAUUGAUGAGAUAGUUGAUAUGAAACUUUCCCCUCUUUCAGAAGCAGAGUAAAGUUUCCACACAUAACUUCAUAUCCAUAUCCAAUUACAUUUAUGCCUGCCUAUUUAAAUAAGACAGCAAUUGGGUUUCCAACACUAUAUCCAUCAGCCACCCAUUUCAGGUAUCCCUGAGCAAAAGAUCUUCUAGCAUUCCCACUUCUGGUAAAUGUUACAGAGUAUGUAGCUUUCUGGUUCAGCCUGCUGAAACUAAUCCUGUAAGGUGUUACCUUAACACGUACGCCUUUAGGUGAAGAGAUGUGAAGAGAGUAGACUGAGUUGGGCUUGCCAACGUUUGUAAUUGUUCUUGAAUAUAUCUGUGGAGUAGAUCCCAAUUCGAUAGAAAAUGAAGGGUAAUUCAGCUGAGCUUCAGGAAUGCUUGAAUCAUUUGAGCACUUCACUUUGCGCUUCACUAUAAGCCCUACAUGUUUGUCAGAAUAACCAAGACCACAUAAGUAAGGAACGUAAUCAUCAGGUUUGAGGUCAUAAAUAAGCCCUGGAUCACUUGCUCUUGAUGGGUUCACAUGGCCUGCACCGAUGUCAAAGACAAUAGCCGGACGAUACUUUCUUUGUUCAGGAAUAGGCUUGCCUGCAAGAUUAUACAAAGAAGCAGUGGUCAUGAUGGCAGAUUUUAUAGCAGCAGGUGACCAGUUUGGGUGGGCACUUUUGAGUAGAGCAGCAAUGCCACUAAGAUGAGGGCAGGACAUUGAGGUACCAGAGAUCAUACCAAACCUGUUGGUAGUAUGAUCAUCUGAAACUGGAUAGGCAGCUAAAAUGUUCACACCAGGGCCUAUAAUGUCAGGUUUCAAGAUCCCUGGACUCGCGAUGCUAGGACCCCUCGAGGAAAACCAGGCCACUUGAGGAGCAGCCGGUACACCAGUUACGGUUCCUUUAAACAAGAUUGUAGCAGUCGGCGACGAUGUAGAGUUUAUAUAGGCUUUAAUUGCCAAGCCUGCCAUGUAACUCACACGUGAUGCAGGGAGCACAUGAUGUUCAGAAUCAAGCACGAUAACAGAGCCUUGAUACUCAUAAUUCAUUACAAUCAUGGCAGCGCCUCCAUUUCUUUUCACCUCUUUGCCUUUGGAAACUGUUUCAGACCCUCCUUCACAGAACACUAUCUUGCCUUUGACAUCAACAUUUUUCAAUGAUCCAUUUUUGCAGGAUGCAUAAACAAGUGGCAGUGAUGAUGAAGUAAAAUGUUUUGGCUGAAUAAGAGAUUCGCCAUUUAGCUCUUUAUUAUUUCCAAGCAACACUGUUGCUCGUAUUUCUCUGUCCACAGUGCUUGCUCCUACAGUUAGAAUCCAUGGUGCCUCAUUUGACAAAGUUCCAUAAAGAGGCCCUUUAUUUCCUGCUGAGCAGCUGACAAAUAUCCCCUUGUGAAUAGCAGCAAAUGCUCCAGUUGCAAUGGCAUCAUCAUAGAAAGGAUGAGAACCAAGACCAAGGGAAAGUGAAAGCACAUCAACUCCAUCAUCGAUGGCAGCGUCCAUUGCAGCCAGUAUCUCACUCUCGCCGGCCUUGUUACCUCUGGCAGAAACUUUGUACAUUGCCACGUGGGCUAAAGGUGCCAUGCCAAUUGCAGUGCCAUUGGCCUGCCCAAACAAAUUGGCACCUUUCACAGGACUUCCAGCUGCUGUGCUAGCAGUGUGUGUCCCAUGCUGAACCCUGUCCAAAAUGUCAUUACUGGUGGCGUCGAAUUUUCUCAAACCAAUAAGCUUGUUGUUGCACAGUGUUGCAUUGAACUCACAUUUCCCUUUCCAUUUUGCUGGCGGAGGAGGCAUUCCUUUACCGCUGAAUGAAGGGUGAUCAGGCGCUAUUCCACUGUCCACAACUCCAAUAAUCACUCCUUCGCCGUAAUUCGAAGAAUUCCAAAAUCCUAAAUUUUGCUGCAGACCCAAAAAGCUUGGCGUGUGGGUCGUGUGUAGAGGCACCAUCCUCUGAGGCCGGGCUAACAGCAACUCUUCCCUCAUUUCCAUUGCCUUUGCUUCGUCUGCUGUAAGUUUUGCAGCAAACCCAGUAACCACAUGGCGAUAGCAGUGAAGCAAACGUGGUUGGUUUGAGUUUAAAGUGUCAGCUGGCAAAAAUGAUCGAUACCAGCUUUCAAAAUCUUUGGACUCUGUGAACAAUUCUCCUUCUGGUUGCUUUAAGAGGACAAUAUAAGUCUCGAAGACGCUUUCUUCAUUCACAUAUCCAUUACUGGUUGAAGGAGUGAUCAAUGACUCAACGAUGACUAGAGAGGGGCUAAACAUAGAAGUGAGGAUAAAGAGGGACAUAAACAACAUGGUUGGCAAUAUUUUGCAUCUUCUGUUUUCCAUAUUGUUGGAAGGAAUAGAAAAUGCUGGAGCUUAUGAGCUUCGACAGCCAUAUCCAAGUACAUUUAUAGCAAAUUUGGACACAAAGAAAACACUGGUGUGUUGGUUAGAUCUCUCUUUAACCCCGUCCAUCGCGCUUAGUGGGACUCGCUAAUAAUGCAGUCAGUCCAUGCCGAAGAAAAGCAGAAACUAAAAUUUCAAUGGAAGUAUACUUGAUGGAUCCCUUUUGGUGACUUGUUUUGGAUUGUGUGAUUCUUGAAAAAUAUGUAUCCUAAUAAACCAAUUGAUGUUAUGGUGUCACCAUAUAGUUUUAUUUAUUGUAGUUUUUAUUUAUUAUGCUGUUAUUAUCCAUAUCUAUUGAUUGUUUAUUUAAAAUGUAC
rnacentral:misc_RNA from 1 species